UGCUAACAGGCGUCGAGUGGCGGACGGGUGAGUAACGCGUAGCAAUCUACCCUAAAGCGGGGGACAACCCGAGGAAACUCGGGCUAAUACCGCAUAAUCUCGUAAGAGAAAAGCUGGGGCAACCUGGCACUUUAGGAGGAGCCUGCGUCCGAUUAGCUAGUUGGUGAGGUAAAGGCUCACCAAGGCGAUGAUCGGUAGCUGGUCUGAGAGGAUGAUCAGCCACACUGGGACUGAGACACGGCCCAGACUCC
rnacentral:rRNA from 1 species